rnacentral:rRNA from 1 species
AAACUUUCAACAAUGGAUCUCUUGGCUCUGGUAUCGAUGAAGAACGUAGCGAAAUGCGAUACGUAAUGUGAAUUGCAGAACUCAGUGAAUCAUCGAAUUUUUGAACGCAUAUUGCGCCUGCUAGUAUUCUAGCAGGCAUACCUGUUCGAGCGUUAUUA